GCGAACCGGGGGAACUGAAACAUCUAAGUACCCCGAGGAAAAGAAAUCAACCGAGAUUCCCCCAGUAGCGGCGAGCGAACGGGGAACAGCCCAGAGCCUGAAUCAGCUUGUGUGUCAGUGGAACGGUCUGGAAAGGCCGGCGAUACAGGGUGACAGCCCCGUACACGAAGGCACACAGGCUGUGAGCUCGAUGAGUAGGGCGGGACACGUGAUAUCCUGUCUGAAGAUGGGGGGACCAUCCUCCAAGGCUAAAUACUCCUGACUGACCGAUAGUGAACCAGUACCGUGAGGGAAAGGCGAAAAGAACCCCGGCGAGGGGAGUGAAACAGAACCUGAAACCGUGUACGUACAAGCAGUGGGAGCCUUCGUAAGAGGGUGACUGCGUACCUUUUGUAUAAUGGGUCAGCGACUUAUAUUCUGUAGCAAGGUUAACCGUAUAGGGGAGCCGAAGGGAAACCGAGUCUUAACCGGGCGUUAAGUUGCAGGGUAUAGACCCGAAACCCGGUGAUCUAGCCAUGGGCAGGUUGAAGGUUGGGUAACACUAACUGGAGGACCGAACCGACUAAUGUUGAAAAAUUAGCGGAUGACCUGUGGCUGGGGGUGAAAGGCCAAUCAAACCGGGAGAUAGCUGGUUCUCCCCGAAAGCUAUUUAGGUAGCGCCUCGUGAACUCAUCUCCGGGGGUAGAGCACUGUUUCGGCUAGGGGGCCAUCCCGGCUUACCAACCCGAUGCAAACUGCGAAUACCGGAGAAUGUUAUCACGGGAGACACACGGCGGGUGCUAACGUCCGUCGUGAAGAGGGAAACAACCCAGACCGCCAGCUAAGGUCCCAAAGUCAUGGUUAAGUGGGAAACGAUGUGGGAAGGCCCAGACAGCCAGGAUGUUGGCUUAGAAGCAGCCAUCAUUUAAAGAAAGCGUAAUAGCUCACUGGUCGAGUCGGCCUGCGCGGAAGAUGUAACGGGGCUAAACCAUGCACCGAAGCUGCGGCAGCGACACUAUGUGUUGUUGGGUAGGGGAGCGUUCUGUAAGCCUGUGAAGGUGUGCUGUGAGGCAUGCUGGAGGUAUCAGAAGUGCGAAUGCUGACAUAAGUAACGAUAAAGCGGGUGAAAAGCCCGCUCGCCGGAAGACCAAGGGUUCCUGUCCAACGUUAAUCGGGGCAGGGUGAGUCGACCCCUAAGGCGAGGCCGAAAGGCGUAGUCGAUGGGAAACAGGUUAAUAUUCCUGUACUUGGUGUUACUGCGAAGGGGGGACGGAGAAGGCUAUGUCGGCCGGGCGACGGUUGUCCCGGUUUAAGCGUGUAGGCUGACUUUCCAGGCAAAUCCGGAAGGUUAAGGCUGAGGCGUGAUGACGAGGCACCACGGUGCUGAAGUGACAAAUGCCCUGCUUCCAGGAAAAGCCUCUAAGCAUCAGGUAACAUCAAAUCGUACCCCAAACCGACACAGGUGGUCAGGUAGAGAAUACCAAGGCGCUUGAGAGAACUCGGGUGAAGGAACUAGGCAAAAUGGUGCCGUAACUUCGGGAGAAGGCACGCUGACAUGUAGGUGAAGCCCCUGCGGGUGGAGCUGAAGUCAGUCGAAGAUACCAGCUGGCUGCAACUGUUUAUUAAAAACACAGCACUGUGCAAACACGAAAGUGGACGUAUACGGUGUGACGCCUGCCCGGUGCCGGAAGGUUAAUUGAUGGGGUUAUCGCAAGAGAAGCUCCUGAUCGAAGCCCCGGUAAACGGCGGCCGUAACUAUAACGGUCCUAAGGUAGCGAAAUUCCUUGUCGGGUAAGUUCCGACCUGCACGAAUGGCGUAAUGAUGGCCAGGCUGUCUCCACCCGAGACUCAGUGAAAUUGAACUCGCUGUGAAGAUGCAGUGUACCCGCGGCAAGACGGAAAGACCCCGUGAACCUUUACUACAGCUUGACACUGAACAUUGAGCCUUGAUGUGUAGGAUAGGUGGGAGGCUUUGAAGCGUGGACGCCAGUCUGCGUGGAGCCGACCUUGAAAUACCACCCUUUAAUGUUUGAUGUUCUAACCUGGCGCCGUGAUCCGGCGUGGGGACAGUGUCUGGUGGGUAGUUUGACUGGGGCGGUCUCCUCCCAAAGUGUAACGGAGGAGCACGAAGGUCAGCUAAUCCUGGUCGGACAUCAGGAGGUUAGUGCAAUGGCAUAAGCUGGCUUGACUGCGAGAGUGACGGCUCGAGCAGGUGCGAAAGCAGGUCAUAGUGAUCCGGUGGUUCUGUAUGGAAGGGCCAUCGCUCAACGGAUAAAAGGUACUCCGGGGAUAACAGGCUGAUACCGCCCAAGAGUUCAUAUCGACGGCGGUGUUUGGCACCUCGAUGUCGGCUCAUCACAUCCUGGGGCUGAAGUAGGUCCCAAGGGUAUGGCUGUUCGCCAUUUAAAGUGGUACGCGAGCUGGGUUUAGAACGUCGUGAGACAGUUCGGUCCCUAUCUGCCGUGGGCGCUGGAGAAUUGAGGGGGGCUGCUCCCAGUACGAGAGGACCGGAGUGGACGCAUCACUGGUGUUCGGGUUGUCAUGCCAAUGGCACUGCCCGGUAGCUAAAUGCGGAAGAGAUAAGUGCUGAAAGCAUCUAAGCACGAAACUUGCCCCGAGAUGAGUUCUCCCUGAGACUGUAAGUCUCCUGAAGGAACGUUGAAGACGACGACGUUGAUAGGCCGGGUGUGUAAGCGCAGCGAUGCGUUGAGCUAACCGGUACUAAUGAACCGUGAGGCUUAACCUUACAACGCCAAAGAAGU
rnacentral:rRNA from 1 species